rnacentral:rRNA from 1 species
AGUACGGCCGCAAGGUUAAAACUCAAAUGAAUUGACGGGGGCCCGCACAAGCGGUGGAGCAUGUGGUUUAAUUCGAUGCAACGCGAAGAACCUUACCUAGUCUUGACAUCCACAGAACUUUCCAGAGAUGGAUUGGUGCCUUCGGGAACUGUGAGACAGGUGCUGCAUGGCUGUCGUCAGCUCGUGUUGUGAAAUGUUGGGUUAAGUCCCGCAACGAGCGCAACCCUUAUCUUUUGUUGCCAGCGGUCCGGCCGGGAACUCAAAGGAGACUGCCAGUGAUAAACUGGAGGAAGGUGGGGAUGACGUCAAGUCAUCAUGGCCCUUACGACCAGGGCUACACACGUGCUACAAUGGCGCAUACAAAGAGAAGCGACCUCGCGAGAGCAAGCGGACCUCAUAAAGUGCGUCGUAGUCCGGAUUGGAGUCUGCAACUCGACUCCAUGAAGUCGGAAUCGCUAGUAAUCGUGGAUCAGAAUGCCACGGUGAAUACGUUCCCGGGCCUUGUACACACCGCUCGUCACACCAUGGGAGUGGGUUGCAAAAGAAGUAGGUAGCUUAACCUUCGGGAGGGCGCUUACCACUUUGUGAUUCAUGACUGGGGUGAAGUCGUAACAAGGUAACC